AUUGAACGCUGGCGGCAUGCUUUACACAUGCAAGUCGAACGGUAACAGGGAGCUUGCUCCGCUGACGAGUGGCGAACGGGUGAGUAAUUCGUCGGAACGUGCCGAGUAGAGGGGGAUAACGCUUCGAAAGGUGUUCUAAUACCGCAUACGUACUGAGGUAGAAAGUUGGGGACCUGCGGUCCUUCCGCUAUUCGAGCGGCCGACGUCUGAUUAGCGAGUUGGGGAGGUAAAGGCUCACCAAGGCGACGAUCAGUAGCGGGUCUGAGAGGAUGAUCCGCCACACUGGUAAUGAGACACGGCCCAGACUCCUACGGGAGGCAGCAGUGGGGAAUUUUGGACAAUGGGCGCAAGCCUGAUCCAGCCAUGCCGCGUGUCUGAAGAAGGCCUUCGGGUUGUAAAGGACUUUUGUCCGGGAGCAAAUGCUGGUGGCUAACAUCCACCGGAGCUGAGAGUACCGGAAGAAUAAGCACCGGCUAACUACGUGCCAGCCGCCGCCGUAAUAC
rnacentral:rRNA from 1 species